UUUUUAAGCUCCUCUUUCGUGGCUGAGUUUUUUUUUUUUUUUUUUAGCAUUGUCUCUAACAGGAGACUAUUCCCUGCUGUUUAGAUGAAUACAUCUAUCAGUCCUCAGAAAGUCUAGUCGUCACUGAUGACGUCCACGUCCUCGCCUCCUGGCUGCUGAGUGGCUGCUCUCCAGCGGUUCACAUGCUGAUUGCCCUUCCUCUUCUGCUGAGCUUCAGGAGACUCCUCCUCCAACUUCUGACGCUUGUGCUUUGUCCUGCGGUUCUGAAACCAUACCUUCACCUGUGCAAAGAGAGACAAGUGAAUGUCAACAGCUCAUAAAUAAGCAUGGAUGAUUCACAUCGUUUCACUGACGCCCAGGCUCGUAUCACCGUGGCGACCUGAUGACAAAUACUGUCAAUCACUCCAGAGGAAAGGAGGAGGGAGUGACUUGGAUCUGACUAACCACCGACUCAUUUCUUCCCCAUCAUUCCUCUGGUCUGGAGUGAUGCCAGCUGAUGUCAGAUCAAUUUCCGUUUCUGAGAAACACCAAGGAGGUGAAGACUGUUCACAUAAUGACAUAAUGCACACUUUAAUGAAUACAGUUAGACUGAAAACUGACCAGAGACCAGCAGUUUGUCUGAAAUGUUUCAGCAGCUGUCGUUCAUUGAGCUGACGAUAAAUAUGAUUGAAUGAGUGAAUAAGAAUACACUGUCUUUAGUGUUUAGGACUUUUUAAAGUACACUUUCUAUUCAUCUGUUCACAAAUUCAU